rnacentral:tRNA from 1 species
GAGGUGGCUCAGGGGUAGAGCAUGUGUCUUGCAGACAUAAGGCAUUGGGUUCAAUCCCUGGCUUC